rfam:Clostridium sp. CAG:221 genomic scaffold, scf107
GAAGUAGAUAGAGGUUGCGAUAUUUAAGAGUAGAUUUACGGAGGUAAGCACAAAGAUGUAAAUUGAAAGGAAGUUUCGCCGAAACAUAUGGUUGAUGCUUUGAAACUAUAGUGUUGGGGUUAUGUAAAAUAUACAUAACACUGUCACAAAUUCAUUUGUGAAGAGCUAUUACUUAA